UCUUGUGAUGGUCUCUUCGCCGCUUCCUCGUCCUCUUUUGGUGA
rnacentral:antisense_RNA from 1 species